AUUGAACGCUGGCGGCAGGCCUAACACAUGCAAGUCGAGCGGAUGAAGGGAGCUUGCUCCUGGAUUCAGCGGCGGACGGGUGAGUAAUGCCUAGGAAUCUGCCUGGUAGUGGGGGAUAACGUCCGGAAACGGGCGCUAAUACCGCAUACGUCCUGAGGGAGAAAGUGGGGGAUCUUCGGACCUCACGCUAUCAGAUGAGCCUAGGUCGGAUUAGCUAGUUGGUGGGGUAAAGGCCUACCAAGGCGACGAUCCGUAACUGGUCUGAGAGGAUGAUCAGUCACACUGGAACUGAGACACGGUCCAGACUCCUACGGGAGGCAGCAGUGGGGAAUAUUGGAAGAUGGGCGAAAGCCUGAUCCAGCCAUGCAGCGUGUGUGAAGAAGGUCUUCGGAUUGUAAAGCACUUUAAGUUGGGAGGAAGGGCAGUAAGUUAAUACCUUGCUGUUUUGACGUUACCAACAGAAUAAGCACCGGCUAACUUCGU
rnacentral:rRNA from 1 species